CAUGUGGUUUAAUUCGAUGAUACGCGAGGAACCUUACUGGCUUAAAUGUAGAGUGCAUUUUUUAGAGAUAGAAAUUCCCUUCGGGGCUUUCUGCAAGGUGCUGCAUGGUUGUCGUCAGCUCGUGCCGUGAGGUGUCGGGUUAAGUCCCAUAACGAGCGCAACCCUUAUCGUUAGUUGCCAUCUGGUAAUGCAGGGGACUCUAGCGAAACUGCCACCGUAAGGUGAGAGGAAGGUGGGAUGACGUCAAAUCAGCACGGCCCUUAUGUCCAGGGCUACACACGUGUUACAAUGGUCGGUACAGAGGGCAGCUACCUGGUGACAGGAUGCUAAUCUCGAAAACCGGUCUCAGUUCGGAUCGAAGUCUGCAACUCGACUUCGUGAAGCUGGAUUCGCUAGUAAUCGCGCAUCAGCUAUGGCGCGGUGAAUACGUUCCCGGGCCUU
rnacentral:rRNA from 1 species